GUACUCAUGACAUUAAUUUCUCCCUGCCAAAAUCUGAAAGAAUGUAAAGAUUUUUUACGAUGAUCGAUUUUUCUUUUGUUAUAUCAAACAAAAACGCAAAACUUAAGAAAUCUUGCAGGUUUUGGCACAGAACAUGCCUUAUAUAAUUAUACCAUUUUAAUGAGUAAGCUGGUUUAUGGCAACCCUGUAAUGAGAUAUUUGGUGAACCGCUUGGAAUUGAAACAACAUUUGAUGAUGAUAUAGAUACAUAAAAAAAAACUAUCAUAAAAACAUUGCACUUUAAAAUGUUCUAAACAUUAGUUAUCGACUACUAAUUUUACGAAGAGUUGUAAUUUAUAAGACGUUUGAUCAAAGAUAUUAACAGAAUAAAUAACUCAUUUUGUAAAAACAUAAUCGGUAAAAAUAAGGCUUUUUUUGUAGGGAAAAUUGACGAGGUAAUAUACAGAUAAUGCUGGGAUGAAUUAUUUUAAUUGACGUUUAAACUAGGUUAACCCUACAAAAAAUUCUAACGUAAACAUGGCAUAAGAGCUAUAAAUAUAGGUUUUAAAAGAUUUUUUUGAGGGACGCUAAGAGCUAUUUACUAGAAUUUUAUUAAAUUCAUGGUAGAAUUAAGAAGAAAGAAGAAGAAGAAAACUGCAACAAAGUAAAACAAAAUAAUUUUUCAUUUAUUUUUAAUUUUAUUGAAUGAAACCAAAAAUGCCGAAAAUAGCAUCAAAUUUUAGAAUAAGUUUCGAUUUUGUUGCGUUCAUCCUCAUUGUAAAAUUUUUAUAAUGUGCAAUUUAAUGCACCGAACGUGCUGAACGCCAGCCAAAAAAGAGAACCGGAUACGCAGGGCGGCCGGCUAAAUUUUAAAAAGUGAUGCCAAGUUUCAUGUUGUUUAUUGUACAACAUGAGAGACGUGUGGCAAAAAUACAACACUGGGGAUAAUAGUGGGUAGGUAGAACACCUGAUAAAGGUAAAUAAUAAAUGUCAGGGAAAUUGUGGGAAAAUCUUGGAAAAGAGGGAAAGUUUGGUUGAGCGUCCUUGGUGGCCGUAUAUAAAGCACAGAGAGGGCGAAAAGCGCCAUUAUUUCAAAGUGGUGUGGAACAGAAACAGUUCAGUCAAUUUUUAAAUGUUUUUUUUUGUGAAUAGAAAAAGGAAAUAUUAAAUUGGCAGUUACAAUUUGUGUGUUUUAUUGUUUUAUUUGUGUGGCGUAUCUAAACAAUUUGAAUAACGCCGCGCAUAAAUCCACAAUUGGACAACGCCAUCCGACUGGGACGAAAAAGAAGCGGGCAUCCCCAACAAUUAUUUUUGUAUCGCCAGGUGCGGCACAGGGGUUCCAGGCAACGAAAAGGUUCUGGAAACGGCCAAAAGACCUGGGAAACUGCCAGUGGAUAACCCUUGGAACAGGCAAUAGUACCAAUCCGGGAAGCUAACCAGUAGAUCCCACCUAAAAAUC